rnacentral:rRNA from 1 species
GACGAACGCUGGCGGCGUGCUUAACACAUGCAAGUCGAACGGAAAGGCCCUGCUUGCAGGGUACUCGAGUGGCGAACGGGUGAGUAACACGUGGGUGAUCUGCCCUGCACUUCGGGAUAAGCCUGGGAAACUGGGUCUAAUACCGGAUAGGAGCCAUUUUUAGUGUGAUGGUUGGAAAGUUUUUUCGGUGUAGGAUGAGCUCGCGGCCUAUCAGCUUGUUGGUGGGGUAAUGGCCUACCAAGGCGGCGACGGGUAGCCGGCCUGCGAGGGUGGACGGCCACAUUGGGACUGAGAUACGGCCCAGACUGCUACGGGAGGCAGCAGGGGGGAAGAUUGAACAAGGGGCGCAAGCCGGAUGCAGCGACGCCGCGGGGGGGAUGACGGCCUUAGGGUUGUAAACUCAUUUCGCUAGGGACGAAGCUUUUUGUGACGGUACCUAGAUAAGAAGCACCGGCUAACUACGUG